ACGCUGGCGGCGUGCCUAAUACAUGCAAGUAGAACGCUGAGGUUUGGUGUUUACACUAGACUGAUGAGUUGCGAACGGGUGAGUAACGCGUAGGUAACCUGCCUCAUAGCGGGGGAUAACUAUUGGAAACGAUAGCUAAUACCGCAUAAGAGUAAUUAACACAUGUUGGUUAUUUAAAAGGAGCAAUUGCUUCACUGUGAGAUGGACCUGCGUUGUAUUAGCUAGUUGGUGAGGUAAAGGCUCACCAAGGCGACGAUACAUAGCCGACCUGAGAGGGUGAUCGGCCACACUGGGACUGAGACACGGCCCAGACUCCUACGGGAGGCAGCAGUAGGGAAUCUUCGGCAAUGGACGGAAGUCUGACCGAGCAACGCCGCGUGAGUGAAGAAGGUUUUCGGAUCGUAAAGCUCUGUUGUUAGAGAAGAACGUUGGUAGGAGUGGAAAAUCUACCAAGUGACGGUAACUAACCAGAAAGGGACGGCUAACUACGUGCCAGCAGCCGCGGUAAUACGUAGGUCCCGAGCGUUGUCCGGAUUUAUUGGGCGUAAAGCGAGCGCAGGCGGUUCUUUAAGUCUGAAGUUAAAGGCAGUGGCUUAACCAUUGUACGCUUUGGAAACUGGAGGACUUGAGUGCAGAAGGGGAGAGUGGAAUUCCAUGUGUAGCGGUGAAAUGCGUAGAUAUAUGGAGGAACACCGGUGGCGAAAGCGGCUCUCUGGUCUGUAACUGACGCUGAGGCUCGAAAGCGUG
rnacentral:rRNA from 1 species